UACGUAGGGUGCGAGCGUUGUCCGGAAUUAUUGGGCGUAAAGAGCUCGUAGGCGGUGUGUCGCGUCGGCCGUGAAAACCUGCAGCUUAACUGUGGGCUUGCGGUCGAUACGGGCAUCACUGGAGUUCGGCAGGGGAGACUGGAAUUCCUGGUGUAGCGGUGAAAUGCGCAGAUAUCAGGAGGAACACCGGUGGCGAAGGCGGGUCUCUGGGCCGAUACUGACGCUGAGGAGCGAAAGCGUGGGGAGCGAACGGG
rnacentral:rRNA from 1 species